rnacentral:rRNA from 1 species
GAUGAACGCUGGCGGCGUGCCUAAUACAUGCAAGUCGAGCGAACGGAUGAGAAGCUUGCUUCUCUGAUGUUAGCGGCGGACGGGUGAGUAACACGUGGAUAACCUACCUAUAAGACUGGGAUAACUUCGGGAAACCGGAGCUAAUACCGGAUAAUAUUUUGAACCGCAUGGUUCAAAAGUGAAAGACGGUCUUGCUGUCACUUAUAGAUGGAUCCGCGCUGCAUUAGCUAGUUGGUAAGGUAACGGCUUACCAAGGCAACGAUGCAUAGCCGACCUGAGAGGGUGAUCGGCCACACUGGAACUGUGACACGGUCCAGACUCCUACGGGAGGCAGCAGUAGGGAAUCUUCCGCAAUGGGCGAAAGCCUGACGGAGCAACGCCGCGUGAGUGAUGAAGGUCUUCGGAUCGUAAAACUCUGUUAUUAGGGAAGAACAUAUGUGUAAGUAACUGUGCACAUCUUGACGGUACCUAAUCAGAAAGCCACGGCUAACUACGUG